rnacentral:lncRNA from 1 species
AAAAAAGAAGCUAAUUAAGUUUGUGCACAAUUUCUUCUUCUACAGUGCAAACAGCACUUCUGGUAUAUGUAACCUGAGAAGUUCUCACUAUAUUAUAGAUGUCAGCAUCACUGUGUAUCACAGAUGCGGCAGAUUUUAAUGUGCAAAUCCAUUACAUGGCUUCAGAUGACUUGGAAUAUAUUGCAAUGUAUGCAGUACUUUAUGGCAGUGGCGGAAACGGGCUUCCAUGCAGCAGAAUUUAGAAGGAGCUAAGGAAAAGAUUAUUUUUUUCCUCAAAAAAAAGAAAAGAAAAAAAGAGGCAUUAUUAUUUUUAUAAUUAAUAUUUCCCAUCUUAAUGAUCCUUCCCGACAUGCCCUGUUACACUGCAGGGAAAUACACAGGAGAAAUCAACUGAAUAUUUGAAUGGAGAGUCAUGAUUGAUGACUGUCCUCUCUUGUAAUUUCAGAAAUCUGCUGACGGUGUGUCAUUUAUUGUGAUAGCUUUAUAAGCAAUAAUACAUGAGCAUCUGUGAUACAGGCAUUCUUGUGUCUAACAGCAGGCUAAAGAUGAUUUUAUUCAGUUUAAACGUCAGUUUUCCCACAGACUCUAUCAUUACCUGCUAAGUGGGGUGUCACGGCAGGAUAGCAGCACAUCAGUUAUACUUGCUUUAUUUAUGUGCAUGAAUAUACCUUUUUAUCAAUCUAUAAACUGGGUGAAACAUGCAUACAAGAGAUUUUAUUGUUUUAUUGUCACAUAGAAACUGGUAUGAAAGUUGUCAAGUAGGAAUAGGCCAUAUAUUAUAAAAAAUAUAAUUUUUAAUCGUUUAAAUGUUGGACACCUUGUAAUUAAAGAGGUUAAAUUUGUUUUUAUGAAAGCUAAGAUUGCAAUAGUAUAUUUUUUGUACUAGUUACACAGUUGCAAACAUUUACGCAAGAGUUGAC